GGACACAAGGGUGUGCUAAGGUAUGCUGCAGCACACCCCAAGAUUUUGGGGGAAAAAAAUUAAUAUAUGUAUAGUUGUAUACCGAAGUAGCUCCAGACUUUCGCUUCUGGACGUCCACAGAGCUAGUUUGGGGGGAAGAAAAGUCAACAUAUACAUAAUUAAUAUAUGUAUAAUUAACACUCUUGAAAGAACCUUCUUGUUCCCACUGUUGUUCAUCACCCAUAGUUUUGGUUCUUCUAUAAUUAAUAUAUCAUUUUCUCUCUUUCUCUAUCCUCUCUGUGCUCUCGUCCUCACAACCUUUUCACCCUUUCUCUGUUCUGCGUUUCUCAAGCUCAGAGCCUCAGACUCUCACCUCUCUCUACCAAGUCACUCUUAUCUCCUCUCCUCAAUAAUCUGCUCUCAUCUCUCAACCUUAUUCAGGUUUUGUUUUUAAUGACAGAUCAACCUCAAAAUCCUAAGCCACGAAAAGUUCAGAAUAAAGUAAAUUCAUAUUUUCUGAAAAAUGAUGUUGUUAUGGGUGAUAUUCCAAGUUCGGUUGUGGAAGAACCUUCUUGUUCUGUACGAGUUGAGUCUCAUGAAAUUGAUGUUAAUCACAUUGAACGUGAUCCGGGAAAACGCCCUGCAAUCUCGUCAUAUCCUAUUAAUGAGCGUGAUGAAGUUCAAAGAAAAUAUAUGAGUUUUAUGCUUCAGAUUUGGGUGACAAAAUGCAUCUUGUGGAUCAUAUUUUGACAAGUGUUAUGCAAUUGAGAUAUUCCAUCAAAACAAAGUAAACUCUGCCAAAUUUUUGAGAAUAAUUUUUCUUGCCAGCAUAAGGUAAAUUUAGCACACCUCAAAUUUAAUUCCUGGUUCCGUGCCUGCUCACUCCUAUAAAAAAAACUUCCCACGUCUGGCGAUGGUCUGGCCAUCGGAGAUUGGGGUGGGGUGGUUCGGAGUGUGUUGGAUCUCGGUUUCUAGUGACGGCUACACGGGAAGGGGGUGCGCGGCAGAGGAAGGAGAUUGGGGUGGAGUGUUUCCGAGUAUGUUGGAUCUCGGUUUCUGGCGACAGCUGCACGUGGAGGGGGUGCGCGGGAGACGGAGGAGAUUGGUUGCGUUGCGGCGGUCCGUUUUCCCGAUCUUGCAACUGGGUCGUUGACCUUUGAUGGUCGGUAUGGGGAGGGUGACAAUAGGUGCCCCGCUUCUGGUGUUUCUGUUCCUCAAGGGUUUGGGCAUUGAAAUUUUGAGAGUGCGGUGGUAGGGGAUGACUGCUGCUGGUUCUCUGUCGAUAGCGGUCGAGGUCCGCAGUCAUAGGUGGCGUGACGAUCUAGGAGGUGGGAAGCUAGUGGCGGUGCUGCCUAUGCAGUAAUGGUUUUGGGCCGGAUCAACAGUUUGGGCUCUCUUUGCCCUAAUUCAGUUGUUGGGUUGUCCUGGGCCUAGUGGGUUUUGAGCCUAGGGGUUCUCUCUAGGUCCAAGAUGUUCUAUUUUUCAUUUUAAAGUGAUUAGUUA